rnacentral:lncRNA from 1 species
UCGGAUUGAUUCUGAUUCUAACAUCCUGAAGAAUUCUGUGCUAUUCAUUGUAAAACCACAAGUGAGGAAGGACCAUAGAUGAGACUACAGAGGAGAAGUCAUUGAAGACCGCAUGAGGAGAGAAGUUGAGAUUUAGGGAUUAUAAAUUCAGGCAGGAGGACCUCAUUCGUGUCAUUGGUCUUGAGGGUCAAGAAAAAAAAAUUCUAAGAAGCUAGCCAUGAAGGCUCUUGCCUCUGCUCUCACUUCUUUCCUACAGUCUGGGCCUUGGCUGCUAAAAGGCUGCUCUGGGAGCCAGGCUGUGGGCCUGAAGAAACACGCUCAGUCAUGCUCAUGUGGAGUCCUACAUUUCAGAUGUUCUCAGCUGCCAGGUGUAUUGUUAGGGAGACAGGAAGAAAAGGGAAGAAUGGUCGCUCCGGGGCUUAGUGCUGCUGUGGGGCUGGAGCAGCAGGUUCUCAGGAGAUGAUUCACCUUGGUGAAAGCUGGGGAAGGCGGUUAGGGAGAAAUAGAAGGAGCACUGAGAAAUCUCUGCCUUCCUGGAGCUCAGCUCCUGUCCUCUGAGAGGUAGCAACGCUGAUCAUGAACCAGGUGGAGGAAAGAGGGGCUGCGGGUGGCCAGCAUCGUCUAUCUGAUUAUCACUAGCUUGGCCUGAACCACACUGAAUGCAGUCUGCUCGUUAGGACAGAGAGGGCCAAGUGAGAGCUAGCAAUUCAAGAGAGGAAGAGUCUGUCUUUAGUCCUCUCUUGACCUCUCAGCCCACCAGUUCUGAUAUGCCACACAUCUGGCCCAGUGAGAACUAAUGAACUUGCUGAUGCACACGUGGGGCGUUGGGGUGUGUCUACACGUCUUUCCUGACCAGCCAUUCACUUUUCAGGCCGUCAUUCAGAUUGGAUAGGAAAAAGUUGGUGAGGAAGGAAGGAGAGAGCAGGAUGCCGUGAUUCCCUGGCCCCUAGGGCAACUCCUUGACUGUCACUUGUAAUUGUAUAUAAUUUUUGUGUUUCUUGCUUCAUUUCCUCAUGCUGUCUUCCUUAGUCUAAAGUCCAUGUGGGAAGGGGAAAAUGCCGAAUAUCCUUGUAUAGUUUCCUCAACCGUCCCAGACAUGUUGUACAUAGAUAUGUCAUGUUGUAGAUGCCACCUGCUCCCACAGCAUGAAGUGCAUAGCUUCCGUGGCAGAAAAGGGUCAUUUGAAAUUCAGUUUGCUUUGAUUAAACCUAGAAUAUUAAGUCC